CCUACGGAAGGCAGCAGUGGGGAAUAUUGGGCAAUGGGCGCAAGCCUGACCCAGCAACGCCGCGUGAAGGAAGAAGGCUUUCGGGUUGUAAACUUCUUUUAAGAGGGAAGAGCAGAAGACUGUACCUCUUGAAUAAGCCACGGCUAACUACGUGCCAGCAGCCGCGGUAAUACGUAGGUGGCAAGCGUUGUCCGGAUUUACUGGGUGUAAAGGGCGUGCAGCCGGGAAGACAAGUCAGAUGUGAAAUCCCGCGGCUCAACCGCGGAACUGCAUUUGAAACUGUUUUUCUUGAGUACAGGAGAGGUCAUCGGAAUGCGUUGUGUAGCGGUGAAAUGCGUAGAUAUAAGGAAGAACACCAGUGGCGAAGGCAGAUGACUGGACGGCAACUGACGGUGAGGCGCGAAAGCGUGGGGAGCAAACAGGAUUAGAUACCCUUGUAGUC
rnacentral:rRNA from 1 species